GGACGAACGCUGGCGGCGUGCUUAACACAUGCAAGUCGAGCGGAAAGGCCCCUUCGGGGGUACUCGAGCGGCGAACGGGUGAGUAACACGUGAGCAACCUGCCCUUGACUUCGGGAUAAGCCUGGGAAACCGGGUCUAAUACCGGAUACGACCACYGCGGGCAUCUGUGGUGGUGGAAAGUUUUUCGGUCGAGGUUGGGCUCGCGGCCUAUCAGCUUGUUGGUGGGGUGAUGGCCUACCAAGGCUUCGACGGGUAACCGGCCUGAGAGGGCGACCGGUCACACUGGGACUGAGACACGGCCCAGACUCCUACGGGAGGCAGCAGUGGGGAAUAUUGCGCAAUGGGCGGAAGCCUGACGCAGCGACGCCGCGUGGGGGAUGACGGCCUUCGGGUUGUAAACCCCUUUCAGCAGGGACGAAGCGCGAGUGACGGUACCUGCAGAAGAAGCGCCGGCUAACUACGU
rnacentral:rRNA from 1 species